rnacentral:rRNA from 1 species
CAGCCGCCGCGGGAAAACCGAGGGCGCAAGCGUUAAUCGGAAUUACUGGGCGUAAAGCGCGCGUAGGUGGUUUGUUAAGUUGGAUGUGAAAGCCCCGGGCUCAACCUGGGAACUGCAUCCAAAACUGGCAAGCUAGAGUACGGUAGAGGGUGGUGGAAUUUCCUGUGUAGCGGUGAAAUGCGUAGAUAUAGGAAGGAACACCAGUGGCGAAGGCGACCACCUGGACUGAUACUGACACUGAGGUGCGAAAGCGUGGGGAGCAAACAGGAUUAGAUACCCGGGUAGUCCCUGUCUCUUAUAC